rnacentral:hammerhead_ribozyme from 1 species
UUCAAGCUGACGAAUCCCAAAUAGGACGAAAUGCGCAUCCUGGAU